AUCUGGCCCGCAGCUGACUUGAGUUUGAGACCCCUGUUGUAAACUGAUGAAAUAGGUCCCACACAAAAGCCUUUUUUGCUUUACAUAAGGAAUCAAUCUGAUUUUGGACCUUCCCUGAUCCAAAGUUGAAAGAGAAACAUGGUGAAAACUCUGAUCAAUGUGAGACUAGUGCAAACAAUUAUGUUUUUUAUUUUUAACCAAACAUUGUAAAUUGUAACACAAAUUGAGGACCAAGUGGCAGAAUAGAAUAAAAACGUCCGUACAUCAGAGAAAAGGGCUGACAAGGAGCAAUGACUGUGCGUUUUAAUGCUUAAAAACUACUUCUACAUGAAUGCUUUCAGUCUAUUUGUAAAUAUUCGGAAGGUGUGAGAUUGACCAGUCAUGCCUUAGUAGCAUCAGGAAGAGGGGCAGAAUAAUAGAAAUGACUAAAUGCUGUUAUUUUCAAGUCUUAUAUAAUUAUAGUAGAGACAAUUUCCAAAAAUAAGGGACAUAUUUUUCUCUUGUGUUAUUAUGUGUAUAUGAUAAGAGAUACCUAAUCUGUGUUAAUUUGUGAUGACAAACUGGGAUUCAAGACAUCUAUACUCUGACAACCAGUUUAAUGACACUCCACUCCUGUUAUGUUCACUGAAUUAACUUAACCUGAGAAACCGCAAUGCAAGGUUAUUAAGUAACCUUAAAAACAGUAAACAUACUUUGGGAGUUUAUUUGGAAAAGGCUUUGUUUGUGAUGUGAAGACUUCCAGACAAACUGAUGUUAAUCUGCCAUGAGAAGCUGACAUUUAGAAAAAAAAUGGUCAAAAAAAGUAUGGAAAAUCAUAGUAUAGCAAUAAAUCAAUGUAAUCAAAGGUAUCUUGUUUUGAGUACAAUAGACAGGAUCCACAGUGGGUUUCUCUAAAAAGGCAAUUGAGUAAAUAUUUAUUCAUUUAUGUCCAGUAAAAGCAAAGGCAACAGGAUAAUGAUUUGCUGUAAACAUUCAUCUGAACAAAGCAUCCCUCUAUUCACGCUAGUUACCGAGCGGAGGAUCUGCUCUGCAGUGGUCUCUGCUUGUCUGUUGUUGAAAUGACCCGCUCACAUUCUGUACAGUCUUUGAAGUUCUUACUUCCCUUUGAAGAAAACUGACACACAGCAAAUGAUCUGAUCUGCAUAAACACGGGUUCACACACCUUAAUUACAUGUAUUUCUCUCCAACCGUGUUUACAGGCAGGUAAUAAAAGAUACAAGAACAUUUGCUUUGGCUCUUUUUGUUUUCUUUGCUCAAGGUCGAACCCAGGCUCUGCUUCAUUUGUAAGGUAGAUUAAUGGUCUUGUUAUUUAUUUUUCUGUAAAGUUCUGUAAAGUGUGUUGUCUUAUAAAAUGAUAAUUAGUAGACUGGAGCAAGCAGUGAUUUUAAUCUGUUUUAAUUUUCCCCUAACAGAGAAGAAAAAUGCACUGAUAAAGUCUUGUCAGUUAUAAAACCUGCUGGACAUAGUCAUCAACAUGUUUUGCAUCCUUAUGACAUACAUGAUAAUAAGGGCUGACAGCGGGGUCAGAGUGGCUUGUCCUUCUAUCAGAGGAAUCGGUGUACCCGGGCUACCCUUGUCCCAUGUUUUUGUGUCCUUGAGCAGGAAAAUGAAUCCCAAAUCUCCCCAGCCCAUUUACUGCCUGGAGAAAUUCCACUACCGAGCAAUGACCAUUCUUGUAGUCCGAGGGGUAAGGUCAAAAUGAUGACUUGAGUUAUAGAUCAUUGUGUGCAUAAUUCUAUGUAGUGUAUAUAUGUACAUUUCACUAAUAUAAAUGAAAACUUUGCUGCUUCCUGUAGAGCUAGAUCUAAAGUGGAUGCGAAAAGUAUUUUGAUUUCAUCCUCUACACACCUCAAGUGGCAGCACCACAUUUCAUGGCGAUCCAAGUCUGAUGCAUACAAUUCUAACAUGUCAAAGUGUGUUAUGGUGAUGCAAAAACAAAAUUAGAAGGAUUGGCUAAAUAGUCAAAUCGUGGGGACGACGGUUUCUUUUUUUUUUUUUAAAUGUAAUCGUUAUCCCUAGAAUAUACAACUAAACCUAUCUUUCCCUGAGGCCAGACCUACAAGUCCACUGAUUUGAUUGGUUCACUUGGCAUACCAUGCAAAAUAUGGAUGUAGUCCAUACCACACUGUCACGGUGCGGAUUCUUGGGGGGGGGGCCGUACACCACACACACAAACGUCACUUAAAGCUUGGUUCACGAAUGGCCGUGACCGUCUUUGCAGUGACUACAGCCUUCCCUUCCCAACUGGCCUCACUUCUUUUUUUUACACAGAAAGCGUGUCAGGUUCAGGUGGCUCCGCUGGUCUGUGGUCAUUUGUCAGGUAAAAGCAUAUUCCAGUGCCAUACAGAAGUGGAAGACAUUACCAGGCAAUAGCUACGUCUGAUAUCUGGCAAUGCCCAUCCAACCUUUGGACUUUUUGAUUCAUAUUGACGUACAUGCAACUAUCACAGAUAAGUUAUUGUUUUUUUUAUUCUCUUAAAUACAUUUUGAUAUGAAAAAAAGUUUGUGUCUGAGUUAAAUAUGCUGACCUUUUUUUGUUUUUGUAUCAUCCAAGCUGCUUUUUUGAUUAUUUUCCAGCUACCCACAGCAGCAGAAGCAAAAAGAUAUUUUUGCACACAGCACCAAAAUGAUCCAGCUCUCCCUCUCUGAUCACAUUCAGCUGG
ensembl:lncRNA